GAUGAACGCUAGCGGGAGGCUUAAUACAUGCAAGUCGAGCGGUAAUUUAGGAAUAGCAAUAUUUCUGAGCUAGAGCGGCGCACGGGUGAGUAACGCGUACACGACCUGCCCUUUACUGGGGGAUAGCCUUGGGAAACUGAGAUUAAUACCCCAUGGUAUUAUUAUGCUGCAUGGUAUAAUAAUUAAAGCUGAGGCGGUAAAGGAUGGGUGUGCGUCUGAUUAGCUAGUUGGUAGGGUAACGGCUACCAAGGCGAUGAUCAGUAGGGGGCGUGAGAGCGUGACCCCCCACACGGGUACUGAGACACGGACCCGACUCCUACGGGAGGC
rnacentral:rRNA from 1 species